UACAUCCUGUAUCGUCGAUACAGGGAAAGUAGAGAAGAGAGAUUGACAUUUGUUGGAGAAGAUGACAUUGAAAUAGAGAUGCGAGUUCCCCAAGAAGCUGUGAAGCUCAUCAUUGGUCGACAAGGAGCCAAUAUUAAACAGCUGCGGAAGCAGACAGGUGCUCGGAUUGAUGUGGACACGGAGGAUGUAGGCGAUGAGCGGGUGCUGCUGAUCAGUGGUUUUCCUGUUCAGGUGUGCAAGGCCAAAGCAGCAAUCCAUCAAAUCCUGACAGAGAACACCCCAGUGUUUGAGCAACUCUCUGUCCCCCAGAGAUCUGUGGGCAGAAUCAUAGGUACCACUGGACAGCUUCCUCUGCUGCUUGCUUUAUUCUUUACCUUUGCCUGUCUUUUCCACAUCCCUGGCCUCCCCUUUACUUUAUUAGGGAAAAAAGACACACUUAGUUCAGAACUUUGCUUUGUUUCAAAACUGGUGUUACUAAAAAAAAAAAAAAAAAA
rnacentral:lncRNA from 1 species